GAUGAACGCUGGCGGCGUGCCUAAUACAUGCAAGUCGAACGAACAGACGAGGAGCUUGCUCCUCUGACGUUAGCGGCGGACGGGUGAGUAACACGUGGAUAACCUACCUAUAAGACUGGGAUAACUUCGGGAAACCGGAGCUAAUACCGGAUAACAUGUUGAACCGCAUGGUUCAACAGUGAAAGACGGUCUUGCUGUCACUUAUAGAUGGAUCCGCGCCGCAUUAGCUAGUUGGUAAGGUAACGGCUUACCAAGGCAACGAUGCGUAGCCGACCUGAGAGGGUGAUCGGCCACACUGGAACUGAGACACGGUCCAGACUCCUACGGGAGGCAGCAGUAGGGAAUCUUCCGCAAUGGGCGAAAGCCUGACGGAGCAACGCCGCGUGAGUGAUGAAGGUCUUCGGAUCGUAAAACUCUGUUAUUAGGGAAGAACAAAUGUGUAAGUAACUAUGCACGUCUUGACGGUACCUAAUCAGAAAGCCACGGCUAACUACGUG
rnacentral:rRNA from 1 species